GUCUUAGAACAAGCUCAGUAUAGUGACUCCACAAUUAAUUUCUCCUCUAUGUUAAUGGAAGUAAGAUUUAAUACGAUGAGAAAUUUAAAUUUUCCAGAUGAUUUUCUCUGUCGUUGAAAUGCUGUCAUCUUGGCUCUAAGCAAUCAUUGCUAUUAAUUGGGAAGAGAGAUGGUACAUAAACGGAUGCAACUGAACCUGGGACUGAUUACUCUGCGUUCUUUGUUCUGACCCAAUGACUGAGCCCUUCCCAAGCGGAAUAAUUGCAAAGCAGCAAAUAUCUAGAAGGAGAAGGAAUCGAAGUCAUAAAAAUAAAUUACAGAAUGAUGAAGGAGACACCGACUUUGUAAAUUCCUUAUCAUUUUCUAAGUUAUGAGGUCAUCUAACCAGGCAACAGACUCUUCCCCAUCAGUGGUUCUCCUGUGAAAACCAGAAGACAACCAUUAAGGAGUAACACAGUCCUUAAUCCAGUAGGCACCAAGGGACCAAACCCUACUGCAACCAUGAAGAAUCUUGACUCUAGGUGCAAGCGAUGAGGCAGUGAAAGAGGUACCGUGUACAUCUCUCUUGAACACAGGUUUGAACUCACCUGCCUACGAGGAUUACUGCCUUCCUUGGGAAAUGGGCAUGCAUUUGGAUGAUCAAAGAACCAAAACAGAGCACCUGCAGCCCAUCCUGAAUGGAGCAUCAGAAAAGAAGUCUAUCCCUGUGUGAGUGGAUUUGGUUCCUCAGAAACUAAUGAAAUUAAUCGGAAGACUUGAAGGGCAUGUGUGAAAGGAGAUGUAGGAAUGAGCUUGAGACAAGAGAGCCACUCUGAGGAUUGUAAUGUCUGUAAUAUACUUAAAAUAUUUCAUCAUAGGUGGUGUGUUCUCAUGUAUGCAUUUCAGAAUUAUGUGAUAGCCUAGAUACUGUUGUUUGUCCUAAUUGAGAAUUUACAUCCUAGGGUGGAAACCUGUGCUCCAGAAACAGCUACUGCAAAGGCUUCCAUGAUCUUUAUCUCUGAUCAACAGCAGAGGCUUUACCAGUUGUCAUAAUUAAUGUUAGAAAUAAGUUUCUGUUAAAAAAAAAAGAAAGAAAAAAAGAGAUAGGUUUCUGUUGAUGCAGUUGGUGGCUUUUCAAUUAGCAUGCAUAAUGGAUGCUACCAAUGCAGUUUCAUUAGUAAGAUUACUAGUGGUAAAGAUGUGUAGACUUUAGAGUAGCUCCCUGCCUUUGCUUGAGAAUAAUAUAAAAAAAACUAAGCAGUCCUGUAGUUCUUAGUGAUGCAAUCCUACACCCAGAAUUGAAUUCCAAAGAUUCUAGUUGCUGGAGGUUUAUAAGAUUGAUUGAAAUCUGUUCCUAGAAUAUCGUCAUGCUUUUCUGAAAUGAUGAUGCGAUGUCAGAAGCUGUAGCAGCCAUGCCUUAACUAUGAAGGAUAAAAGCUAAUAUGUUGAGUGUAUUAAUUAUCCAAUACUGCUUCAUGAAAGGGAGGUAUAGACAAAAUGACCUCCAAAGGCCAAAGGGGC